AGAAGGAGCUCUCCAAAGCCGACCGUGUGCUCUUCUAUCCCAACCACCUUCUUGGGCUUAUACAUGAAAAGAGCCACGCCAGCCACAAUUAGCAACACACACAGGAAGCAACACCGGUGACAGGAAAGACACUAGAGAGACCUACAAUGGGAUGAUGACACCCAGAGCCACUCGGAAAGAGAGGAAGACAGAGUUCACUGUCUCUGCUUACCUGGGAUUGGCUUGCAGGAUUUACCAAGGACCUGAAAUAAAAGUGAGCAAAUAAUUCCUAA
rnacentral:lncRNA from 1 species